UUUGNCCAUGGGCGAACCUGNCCAGCAAUGCCGCGUGUGUGAAGAAGGCCUUCGGGUUGUAAAGCACUUUUGUCCGGAAAGAAAUCCUUGGCUCUAAUACAGUCGGGGGAUGACGGUACCGGAAGAAUAAGCACCGGCUAACUACGUGCCAGCAGCCGCGGUAAUA
rnacentral:rRNA from 1 species